CAUAUUUCUGAUGCCAGUUUUAGGGUGUUUUCUGUUUCAGCAUGGUUUGUAGAUGAUGUUGGAUAAAUGAUGGUGGUGUCGUCAGCAAACAUUAUGCAAGUUUUUUCUGGUGUUAGAUGAUUUGGGAAGCUAUUGAUGUAUAUCAAGAAGUAGAGGGGUCCGAGUACAGAUCCUUGAGGAAUUCCUCGUUUAGUUAGUUGAGUGGGUGAUUUAGUUUUUGUUUGUAUUUUAUUUAUCUGGUGAAUUAUUUCAACCUGUUGUUGCCUAUCUUUGAAAUAGUCUUUAAUCCAAUUUAGUGCGUUUCCUUUUAUGUUGAUUUGGUAUAGUUUGUCAAACAGUAUAUCUCUAUCUAGGCUGUCAAAGGCUUUCUGUAUGUCUAAGAAGAGUCCUGAUGCUGGUUGUUUAUUUUCCCAGAGGAUGGUAAUUGCUUCAUGGAGUUCAUUUAGUGCUGAGUUGAUAGAUUUGUUUUUUCUAAACCCGUGUUGAUGAGGGGAUAGUAUCUGUAGGUUGGUCAGGUGUUCCAUGAUCUGUGUAUAGAUUAUUCUUUCGAGGUAUUUAGAUAGUGUCGGUAAGAUUGAUAUCGGACGGUAGUUUUCCAUCAAAGUACUGUCUCCUUUUUUAUAUUUAGGAUAUACUGUUGCAGUUUUCAUUCCAGAUGGGACUUUUGCUUGAUUAAUCGAAGAGUUUAUGAUAUGAAGAAGGGGUGGUGCGAUUUCGCUCUGGCAGUGUUUGAUAAUUCUAUUUGAAAUUUCAUCAUACCCACAUGAGUUUUUUGGUGGUAGUGCUUUGAAGAUCUGUUUGAGUUGGUCCAUGGUUAUUGGCUUAAAAUUUGAUAAUUCAAAGGCUUGUGUUAAGUUGGUAGUUUCAUGCUGGUCUGUAGGAGGGUGAGGAUCAUUUAUUCGAGUAUUGUUACCCUGGGAUACAAAGUAUCUGUUGAAGGUGUCACUGAUCAAGCCUGGGUCGUUAGUGAGGUUUUGAUUAACGUUCAGGGUGAGUGGCCUAUCAAUAUAAUCUGCUUUGGAGUUUGUUUCCUUGUUUAUGGUGUUCCAUAUUUCCUUUAUUGGGUUGCUGGAGCUCUUGAUCUUGUUUGAAAUGUGUUUACGUUUUUUGUCUUUUAUUUCCAGGUCAUAUAUUUUCUUCAGCUUUUUGUAGGUGGCGUUAUCUUUGUCUGUUCCGGUUAGAUUGUAUUUAUUUUGUGCGGUCUGUAGGUUACUUCUGAGUUUGUGCAGAUUUUCAUCCCAAAAACGGUUUGGAUUUUUGUUUUUAAUAGUUUUAAGGAACCUGGGCAUGGUUUCAUCCAUAUUUAGUCUUAUGGUUUGGAUUAGUGCCCUAUACUGGUCGUCUACAGAGGGUUUUUGAUAGACAUUUUCCCAAUUUUCAUUUUUUAGUUUGGUUUUCAGCAAAUCUAGAUUUUGGGGAGUAAUAGGCCUGAUCAUUUUUUUAAAAGGCGUUGUAAGUGGAGCGGAGAAAUCAGAUAUCUUGCAUACAAUUGCUUCGUGGUCUGAUAUAUUACUUUGUUGGGCUGUAGCUUUAAUUAAUGAUGGGUUUAUGUUUGUAAUGCAGGCAUCAAUGCAGUUCUUUGAAGUCGGGGUUAUUCUGGUGAAAGAAGUUUCAAUUUGAUGUAAGUUGUGAGAUUUUAGUGUAUUUGAAAGUUGUUUAACAUCUUUAUCAUCUUGGUUUUGUAGUUUGAUGUUUAUGUCACCCAAGAUAACUAUUUUUUUCCUUUUGUUGGAGAAUUGCUGUGCUAUCUGCAAUGUCAAAAAACUGGUUUUUGUUUUGGUCAGGUGAUCUAUAUGCCCCAAUUAUUAUUAAGCUUUGUUUCUUUUUAUUUAGUUGUACCACGGCAAAUUCUGCAGUCUGUUCCUGGUUGAAGUCCUUGGUGGAGAUGGUUUGUAUUGCUGUAGAGGUUAUAUUAUUCUUAACAUAGAUUGCAACUCCUCCCCAUAGGUGAGUUUUUCGAGAGAAUUCUGCUGCAAGUUUGUAGCCAUCAAGGUAAAUCUGGUUUAGUUGCUCAGUUUUAUGUCCGUGUUCUGUAAUUAUGGGGAUUUCAGGGUUGACGCUGUUUAUUUCAAAAAUCAGUUUAUCAAUUUUCUUUUGCAGGCCUCUCUGUAUAUUUAAGUAGUAUAUUGUUGUUCCAGUAUUACAGGUCUUUUUUAGAUUUUGUCUUGGUUUUGGGAUGCAGGUUGUGAGUGUUGGCGAAUUGUGGGCUUCAAGUCAGGCUUUGUGGUGUAUGCCUAUAUGUUCUUCACAUAUAUUGUUUUGGUUUGGUGGGAAGUCAGGGUUUGUCUUAUCCAUUUUCUCCGUUUCCUCCGCGUCGUCAUCAGUGGGUAGUCGGGCUUCAGUUUCUUUUGUAUUGUCAUCAGUGAAGAGCUGGGGUUGGUGUACGGUGGGGAUUUCCUUAUUUUUAGAUUGUUUGGGUAGGCCUACAGGUUUUGUGUUUCCCUGUCCUUGUAGAUCAGCCUCUUCUAGGAUCACCUUUGCUAAUCUCCAUGACCCCCUCCUAUUGAGGUGAACUCCGUCAAGGGCAAAACACUCGCUGGUAAGCACUGAGCUUGUGUCUAUGUAUUUUGCGCCUAGUUCUUCACACAUGAAUUUAAGCGCUUCAUUAACUUUGUAGAUGAAGUCAUUUUCGACAUCAUAGCGGUAAGGAAUGCUGUUGACGUACCAUUUAGUAUUCUUAAAAUAUUUCAUGCCAGCCUCGAUUGUAAGCCAAAUGGGCCGCAUUACAUGGUUUGGGGUCUUUGCGUCUAUAGUGUUAUUUGAACCUACAUUUAAAAUGAUUUUGUGAGGGUUGUGUUCCAUUUCAGUCAAGUACUUGCUACAAUCUCUAAUUUUACAGCCUGGCAUUAUUUUUGAGGUUAUGUUAGCUUUGUAUUCUGUUUCUAUGAUGUUGGCUGUACCACGGAGGAGCGAGUCGCUGAUUAUUAUUGCUUCUGUGUUUUGAAGUUUUUCCUUUGGCUUAGCGUGUUGGGUUUUUUCCAGAUGAGUUUUGUUUUGACCACUUUUUUGUUUUGGAGGGUAGCAGUUUAUUUGGUCUUUAGGUGCGAUUUGUUCCUUCGAUGUUGGGGUCUGGCUGUGAGAAUAUGGAGACAGUGCACUGGUUUUGCUGUGGUUCGGUGUGGGUACCGGUAGGCCUAUUGUCUGUUUGUUCAGUGGGGUUUCUUUUUGUGUAGGCCUAGACUGAUAGGUUGGUCCUGUUUUUUUAUUUGUUUGCCUAUUGGUAUCUUUGGCUACGUUGUUGAUGUUCGGACCGGAGUUGGUGUUAAAAUCUUUACACAGGUCAUAGACAGUCUGUUCUAAUUUAUAGAUUAUCUCCAUUUUUAUAGCAAUUGUCUCGGAUAGUUUAAGAUUUUCUUGAUUUUUGUCUUGGAGUUGCUUCUUUAGAUUUUCGAUGUCACUCAUUAGGAUAUCUACAAUACAGUUCAUUUGUGUGUUCAGGGGGUGGUCUGCUGUAGAUUUAGGCCCAUCUUCAGGGUUUGUCUCAGAAGUUUCCUGUUGGACGAGUCCUGUCGAGCCUUGAUUUGAUUGGCUGGCGAGUGUUUUCGCAUCAUUUGAGUUAUGGUUAGGUCUAAGUUGUUUACAAUCUUUGCAUACCCAUGUCAGUAUGAAUCUGUCAGAUACCAUAGCUUUGUAUUGCUUAUCCGUAAUGCCGGCACAUCUGGUGUGGUGCCAUUUUUUGCAGUCGCAUUCAACUGCCUUGUCAUUUUCCUCAACGUUUUGUUCACAUACUACACAGAGAGUAGGGUUUGGUGUAGAGUCAUUUUGGUUUUCUUGGUUUGCACCUGCGUCAGUUUUUGAAAUAUUUUUAACCAUAAUUGAUUUUUUUUUUUUUUUUUUUUUUUUUUAUAGGAGAUAGGAGGUUUGGUCUUUGGUAUAGGUUGCCCAAGGAUGUUGGUAGGGCUGGUGUGGAAUGGUCUUUGGUUUGCCUUGAAACGCUCGCGACUUAUACAACCAAAACUACUCAACACCUAUCGAGCUGUUGAGUGGAGGUUGACUGCACUUUCUUCUUCCUCUCUUUCGGCAAAAAAUUACUCUUUUUGAGGCGAGCGUUUCAGGGCAGGAAUUGGACUAGCCAACUGCGCAUGCGCAAACCGUAAAAUUGAGCUGAUCUCAAAUGAACGACUCUCACACAAUUGAAGCAAAAGAGUUGUUUACUGUUCUGUCGUUCUUUUAUCUGUCUGCCGCUGCCCCUGCCGUGCCCCAGCGAUUGUAGUUUUCAAAGUCUUUAAGCUGUGUUUUUUUAAAAAUAAUUUGAGGUUUUAUCGAAGUAUCGUAUGUUUUGAAGUCGGAUUUAAGUGUAUAAAAGAGUGUUUAUUGUUAUGCGUUCUACCGUGCCAUCCCCGUGCACCCUUGCCUACCACUUUCAAAAGAACCUGCGCAGAACCAUGGCUGUCUCGCGCAUGUAGGGGUGAAGGGUGAUGGUGGGGAAGGGCCUGGAGCAGUGGUGGGGAUAAGUCGUUGGGGCGAGGUGUCUUUCCCCACCACUCUGACUCUCCUGCUGUCCUGCAUGCACGACUCAUACAGAGUCAUUGAUUGAGGUGCUGGUGAACUGAUUGAAGACUUAAAAAUGUUUUGUUAUUAGUGUGAGGUGUGAUAGUACGGACUGUUGUGAUAAAUUACCACUGUUUAUGAUUUACUUUAUAUGU